rnacentral:rRNA from 1 species
UACAGAGGUCCCAAGCGUUACUGAGAAUCACUGGGUUUAAAGGGUGCGUAGGUGGUCCGUUAAGUCAGUUGUGAAAUCCCCGGGCUCAACCCGGGAACUGCUUCUGAUACUGGCGGACUUGAGGCCAGUAGGGGUCACUAGAACUGACGGUGGAGCGGUGAAAUGCGUAGAUAUCGGGAGGAACACCUGUGGCGAAAGCGGCUCACUGGACCAUAACUGACGCUGAUGCACGAAAGCUGGGGGGAGCAAACAGG